rnacentral:rRNA from 1 species
GAUCCUGGCUCAGGAUGAACGCUGGCGGCGUGCCUAACACAUGCAAGUCGAACGGAAGGUAAGCGCUUCGGAGACUUCGGUCAAUGUUUGCUUAUCUUUAGUGGCGGACGGGUGAGUAACGCGUGGAUAACCUGCCUCACACAGGGGGAUAACAGUUAGAAAUGACUGCUAAUACCGCAUAAGCGCACAGUCUCGCAUGGGACAGUGCGAAAAACCGAGGUGGUGUGAGAUGGAUCCGCGUCUGAUUAGCCAGUUGGCGGGGUAACGGCCCACCAAAGCGACGAUCAGUAGCCGGCCUGAGAGGGUGAACGGCCACAUUGGGACUGAGACACGGCCCAAACUCCUACGGGAGGCAGCAGUGGGGGAUAUUGCACAAUGGGGGAAACCCUGAUGCAGCGAACCGCCGCAUGAGUGAAGAAGUAUUUCGGUAUGUAAAGCUCUAUCAGCAGGGAAGAUAAUGACGGUACCUGACUAAGAAGCACCGGCUAAAUACGUGCCAGCCGCUGC